GAUGAACGCUGGCGGCGUGCCUAAUACAUGCAAGUCGAGCGAAGCGGGGACGGGUGAGUAACACGUGGGUAACCUCCUAUAAGACUGGGUUAACAUCGGGAAACCGGAGCUAAACCGGAAACUGAUAAAUGGGGCCGCGCUGCAUUAGCUAGUUGGUAAGGUAACGGCUCACCAAGGCAAUGAGGCAUAGCCGACCUGAGAGGGUGACCGGCCACACUGGAACUGAGACACGGUCCAGACUCCUACGGGAGGCAGCAGUAGGGAAUCUUCCGCAAUGGGCGCAAGCCUGACGGAGCAACGCCGCGUGAGUGAUGAAGGUCUUCGGAUCGUAAAGCUCUGUUAUUGGGGAAGCGGUACCUAAUCAGAAAGCCACGGCUAACUACGUGCCAGCAGCCGCGGUAAUUC
rnacentral:rRNA from 1 species